UACACACAUACAACUAUCUUGCCAGUCGAUCUUGAAAAUUUGUCCAAACUAAAUUAAGGAAUCUCAUUCCUUCCUUUGAAACCAGAUAGUUCCUAGUGUUUUUUAACUCCUACUUUUUUUAAAUCUACCUGUUUCAUAGCUUUUUGAAAGUUUAUGUCUUGGUUUCAUAUCGUUCUUGUCUCAAGGCCUCAAUCAGGGCGAUCUGUGUCGUGUUAUUAAUUGAAGAAUCGAGCUUGAGGUCGACGGAUUCAGUCCGUGUAGUACUGCAGCUGUUCAUAAUGGUUUUCAUCCCUCGCUCUGUGUCGCGCUUGUCCGCACGUUCCGAAACAUCCAGCGUUUCUGGAGAUCAGAGAGAAGUCGACGCUCUGGUUCAGCAGUGGGAACAUUCGGAGAACAAAGCAGAAGCCUUCGAAAAAGUUGAAUCUGCUUUGAAUCGUAUGUCCAUGAAAGACGCCGAUGUUAUUCCGGCUGGAGCGGAAAGCGAUCUGGAUGAAACGCCUGACAUGAAAGAGCCUGGAAUUCCGGCUGAGCCUGGAUAUCCGGCUGUGGCUCGCGGAACACAGUAUGUGUGCUUUAACUGUCGCAAGCCUGAACCCGGGCACACCACCAGUCAAUGCCGUCGUUUGAACAGUCGCCGUUUUCAGCCACGUGACGGAGAACGCGCGAAGAAAUUUAAAAAAUUUCUGGAGGUUCGCGUGAUUUAAAUUUACUUCACUUACAGCCAGGAUAUCCGGCGAUAUAAAUGAUAAAGAGCGAGCUAUGCGCCAAAUCGAGGAUGACCGCAAAGCGGAGGAUGCUGAGAUUCGCGCCCAACGUGACGACGAAAUCCGCGCUGAACGAAACGCUCGCGAGGAACGCUAUCGUCGGGAAGAUCGUGAGCGUACGGAGCGCCGCCGUCGUGAGGAUCGUCGCUGGGAGGACGUCUGGGCGGAAAAAUUGCGUGUUCAUCGCAACAUUCGUUUUUAGGUUUAUGGAACAACAUGAACGCAACACAUCAAUAUGGUUGGAUUUUUUGUUUUUGUAAUAAUAUCAGUUUUGUACUGAUGCUUCUGUUCCUACUGGAUUAUUUCGUCUGUGGCUACUUUUGUUAUUUUUACAUAAAUGUUAGGCACUGAAGAAAGUGAAUUCACUCGAUUUUAUGCAAUCUUUGGGUAAUUGGCAGACCAUGUAAGAAUCCUACGAAGAAACAACAAAAUCUCAAAUCAUAAACCUUGUGA